AUUGAACGCUGGCGGCAGGCCUAACACAUGCAAGUCGAGCGCGCGGCGGACGGGUGAUUAAUGUCUGUGAAACUGCCUGUUGGAGGGGGAUAACUACUGGAAACGGUAGCUAAUACCGCAUACCAUCAGAUGUGCCCAGAUGGUAUUAGCUAGGAGGUGGGGUAACGGCUCACCUAGGCGACGAUCCCUAGCUGGUCUGAGAGGAUGACCAGCAACACGGGAACGGAGACACGGUCCAGAGUCCUACGGGAGGCAGCAGUGGGGAAUAUUGCACAAUGGGAGCAAGCCUGAUGCAGCCAUGCCGCGUGUGUGAAGAAGGCCUUCGGGUUGUAAAGCACUUUCAGCGGGGAGGCGUUACCCGCAGAAGAAGCACCGGCUAACUCCGUGCCAGCAGCCGCGGUAAUAC
rnacentral:rRNA from 1 species